UGGUGGAGUGAUUUGUCUGGUUAAUUCCGUUAACGAACGAGACCUUAACCUAUUAAAUAGUUGCUUGAACACAUGAAUAAUCUAUUCUUUGUUCGGUUAACUUCUUAGAGGGACUCUUCACUGAGAGAGUGAAUGGAAGUUUGAGGCAAAAACA
rnacentral:rRNA from 1 species